rnacentral:misc_RNA from 1 species
GUCACGUGAUAUUAUUUACUUCCUGUUUAUCGCAGGUAUCCCAGGGUGCAUUUCGCCAAUUACUAAACAGGACAGGUCGUGUCAUCAUUGAUCGACACAAAAGAAAGCAAAAUACUCAUUACAAGAUUGAAACAGAAAAUUAUUACUAUGGCAACAGAAACAGGAGGAGCUGCUAGGCAACCAGCAGAAGAAAACAAUAGUGAUGCUAAUACAGAUGCUGUUACGUUGUCUGUAACUCAAGAAACUUCUGCUGAACAGAGACCCUCUCAACCUCCAUCCUAUGACAGUAUCUACAAAGAUGGCCCCCCUUCAGAGUAUCUUCAGCAAAGUAAUGCUUACAUCAUUGCCACUCCUAGUGUCCCGCCACCCCUGCCUUCUCCACUUAUGGCAGAAAUAGAGCGAGAUCGUGUACAUAGAGAGAGAAAUCGCCAGAAGAUGGGGCCAUCACUCUCACAGCGCACACGAGUCAAACUUGUGGGUUGUGUGAUAUUUGGUAUAAUGGCUGUUGUCGUCAUAGCAGUGGUCCUCUCACGGGACCAUAAGUCUAAAGGGAGUGAGACUAGUGGUUGGAAUGCUUGGAGUGAUUAUGGUAGUUGCUCACACACUUGUGACAGAGGAGUGCAGUAUAGAACAAGGUCUUGCCAGGCCCCUGGCUAUUGUGCAGGCACUAGUUCAAAUUCAAGAUUCUGCAAGAUGAAAGACUGUCUUCUCCAAGCUGGUUCAGAGUACGCUUGGAGCGCUUGGACCCCUUGUAGUGUCUCAUGUGGAACUGGCACCCAGUUCAAAUUCCAAUACUGCAAGGAUGGUUUCACAUGUGAUGACUUUUAUGCUGACAAACCCGAGAGUAGGGAGUGCAACACACAACUUUGCGAAGCUCAAGAGGAUGACGAUGAGGAAGCAUUCCCAGAACCUGAACCAAAUAAACCCAAAUACAGUUCAUGGGAAGCCUGGACACCAUGCUCCAAGUCAUGUGGCUCAGGGCUGAAGUCAAGGUCACGAACCUGUGAGGACCCUCCAUACCUCUGCUCAGGGGUAGAUUCUGAAACAACCUGCUGUAACAUCGAACCCUGUGUGGAGGAAACUGCUUGGAUUGGUGAUUGGUCAAACUGUUCAAGUAAAUGUGGGGUUGGAGUUUCCCAUCGUAGAUAUAACUUUAGUUAUGACCAAGUGAAAUAUGUAGAGAAGCCAUGUUAUACCCCAUGUUUGGGUGAGUCCAACUGGAUGCCAUGGGGUUGUUGGGUAUGUAUCGGGCAGACAUCAUACAGAAAUAGAACAUGUGACAAACUGGGACCUAAUAGUUGUGCAGGUGAACCAGUUCAGGGUGAUGGAACGUGUCGAUUUGAUAACUACUAAAGUGCAUAGUUAUUUUUCAGGAUUUUCAUUUUUUAUGAUGACCAUGAUAUUUAACAGAAUAUCAAUACUGUAACUCAUUCCAAUUAUUGUUAAUGCACUUUUCUCCUUUAUGAGAUGAAAACUAACCUCAAUAAUCAAAUGUAUUUAGUCCUUUUAAUAGUAAGAUAAUGAACAUGAAGGUUGGACCAGCUGAUCUGAACUAAGUCAAAUAUAGGUAACUUACACUUUGUGGCAGUGAACUCAAACGAGGAAUGAAAACAUUGUAAAUCUCCUCUGGAUUAGUUUCAUCAAUGGGGAACAUUAGUAUCAAAAGUAAGUUACUUAAAAUCAGAGGUUUACUAAUAUCAAACAAAUUUUGUUAACCAUCUUGGAUGAUACUAACUCCAUUUUAUAUCGUCCUGCUCUGGACAAUUAGUGAUGUCAAGAGCAGCCAAAAUGCCUAUUUGAUCUUAUUACUACUUUUCAGAACGAUGUAAUUCAUUAGGGGUUUCAAGAGAUAUUUUUCCAUAUUGUACAGUUUGCUAGCUGGUUCCAGGCGCCUCGCCAAAAGUUGUGAGAAAGAUAUUUUUUGAUGUUUUUCAACUAAAACUGUGAACAUAAUGUCUUUCAGAAUUAUUCAUAGUUGUAUAUUUUUGAUAAACAUAAACUAAGCAUCAAAUACAUUAUACGUGUAUCCCUAUAGAAGAAUACUCAGAAUAUCUUAUUUGUUAUUCAUCAAGAUCUGUAUAUUAAUCAUUGUGAAUAGCAUUUUGUAUUUUCAUGACAUAUAUUAUUAGACUAAAUAAUCUUUAACAAAUAGUACAUAUUGUAUAUGUAUAUUUUACUGGGUGAUAGGAUAUGUGUUUUAUCCAGAAGGACAAAAUAUGGAUAAACCCAUAUCCUAUCCUGAUUUCUGAUGAGUAAAUUAUUAUUUUAUUCCAUUUGAACAUUUCCAUUUAUGUACGGUAUUGUACAAUUAGAAAGGUCUCCACUUAUAAUUUCACCAAUAUUGUCUUAAAAUCACUGAGAUUAAAGCGAAAAAAUUCAGAACAGAAUUACAUCUUUCCUGACCAGUUUAGAACUGUCAAUUUACACAAAAUUGCCAAAAUGUCCUGGAUGAAUAGCGGACUAAAUUUUUGUAAUAUAUUAAUACAGUUCUUGGUGUGACAUUGAGCAGGAAUGUAUGUUGGAUAAGAGAUAUUUGUGUAUAGCCUCUACAUUGUUAUGUUACAAGAAUGUUUUGCAUGUACAUGUAUAUUUAACAAUUACAUGUAUGUUUACAUGGAUGUGCAUGUAAAUAUGUACAUGUAUUAUAAAUACCGGUAUGUUUAACUGUUCUGAUAUACUCAAUCAUUUUUGUUGAAAAUGCAUAUUACUUGAUAUGCUGUCAUUGUACAGCAUGAACAUACCUGCCAACCUAUUUUUACGGGAAUCUACCGUAAAAUUUUCGUUUUUCAGUAAAAAAAGUGACAAACUACCGUAAAGAAUUUGCCAUUUCUUUUUUGGAAAAUGACAGGAAAAAAAUCUACCGUA